UCAGUGGAAGCUGAAAUGCAGAGGGGGUGGUAAGGAGAAGAGGAGCAGGCAGGCAGGCAGGCAGAGAUUUGGAAGUCUCCUCCCAGAAGGACUGUCCUCAAGACUGCAGUAUUUUCCAGUGCAAUGCUGUGACAGUUUUGAAGACAUACUUAGGCUUGGCAUCUGGUUCCUAUUACAGAUGACCCUGCAGACUUUUUCUGCUAGAAACCUUCCUAGCAAAUAUCCAACUGCCUUCUACAGUUCCACCUAAGAGAGAGAAGACAGCUUGAUUUCUGUAGCAGGGGAAAGUCCAGGUCCUACGAACCACCAUCAUGGUGACUCUUCCUCUCUUCCUCUUCUUCAUCCUCUUGCCAUGCAGUAAAUCCUGGGAGGAGUUUCUGGACCACAAUCUGAAAUGGGACUACAGAGAAGGCGCUGACAAAGUCAACAUAGGAGGCAUUAACAGCAUUACUCAAACACUUGAGAAAUGGGGAAACAGCAUCUUCUGGCAAAUGAAACACAUCCUGCUGAACAACCCAGAGUCUUUGCUGCCGGAGAUCUCCAGUCUCCGCCCUGUUUCUGCAGCUGUGGAGAAUCUUGUGAGGGAAGUCCAGGCAAUACGGAAAAGGCUAGAAGAAUUGAAUGAAAGGCUCAAUGUCAUCAACAAAGCUGUCCUUCCCUUCCGAAUUAACGCUCUGCAGAGCCAGAGGCGUGGAAAUACUCAGCUGCGGAGACUCCCAAUGCAUAGGAGAAGGUUACCUGCGCGCAGGAGACUUCAGAGGAAUUAACUCUCUACCAGCAAAAAAAGGAAAGCCUUUGUUUUUUGCACCUGCUUAAGCCUUUCUCAUUGGGACACUGUUAAACAGAAUAAACUAAAGCACAUACAAGAUGACUUUACCGAGGAGACCAGAACUUCUGCAUGUUGUUGUUCUAUUUCAAGCCUAGGUCAGUAAGUCAAAUCUGGACCUGUUCUUCAGCGAUGGUUGUUUUGUGCCCUAUGCAAAAUAAGUUGAGAAACUUGGUCUACUUCAGUGUGAAUACCUUUAGGUUAUGCUGUCGUUCCUUCUGCUUACCAGGGUAAGCUCUUUUUUAAAAAGUUCAGCUGAAUUUCUCUGUCCUAUUUUCACAGUACUCUGUCAGAAACAGCUGGGGAAUUCAAUCUUCAAAAGUGCUGAAUGCCGGAUGAAUGCAGGAAGAUAGAUUAGUGCUUUGCACUUCCAGCUGGGUAAGGAGGGGGAGAGAAAGUCAUGUUUUAAAAUAUAGCCUUAACCUAUUCUCCACCAAUGCAAAGAAUGCCCCAUUCACAUGUUCAGAGAGUGGGCAGAGUUGGAGAACCUUGAACUAUGCGUAUUGUUUCAGGAGUGAUGCUAUGUCAGAUUCUUGGGACCAAAGCUGAACACCUAUCUUCUUCAAUUAGCUUUCUUUUGGCUACCUGCAGGUAGGCACCAAAAACAUCAUGCAAUAGAUAUGCCCAUAACUUCCAACACUGUGAACGGCAUCACAGUGCCUUCUGCCAAGACCCUUUGAAAACAGGUGAUGUUUCUCCAAAACAAUUUUGGUACCUACUGGUAUAAGUAGAUGUCAACAAAGAUUUUCCAAAAUAGCUUUGGAAACAGCUUAGUCCCAGAAAUCACUGGUAAUUCAGUUGAUGUCUGGCUGGUAACUCAGCUGAUGUCUUAUUCACAGAGUAUCUUCCCCACAUGCAAACAUCAACUUCCAUAUCCUUCAGCACAAUUAAGAUCUGUAGAAAAAGAAGAACUACAUACUCCCAAAGCUCAGGUGUAUAUAGUAUACUUUGCUUUCAGCUCAUCUUUGCUUUCCUGGUAGUAAAACUGGUAACAAAAAACAAAACAAAACAAAACAAAAAAACGGUGCAGAAAUCAAGUUAUGAACUGAACAAAGGAAAGAGUGGGCUUACUUUUCAGAUCUCUAAAGAUCUCUAAAGGCAAAAUACAGAGAUUUCCAUCCAGCGCUGUAGCUAAUGGCAUGCCUGCAAUCUGUUUAAACAUAGGUAUAAAGGCCAGAGAGAAAAAUAAACUAUUUUUUAAGCACUUUAUGAGAAUAAAAAUAAGGAAUUG